rnacentral:lncRNA from 1 species
CCCCCACUCAGACAUGUCAUUCAUAGAGAGCAAAGGCAGCUUGUAAGGAACCACCUUGGCCCGUCAUGUUCUUGCCUGAUUUUACUCUUCUCCACGUGCCUUCUCCUCCGUUUCAUGAUUGUGCACCGUGCCCAGGUGUAGGACCAUCAUAACCCCGGCCGUGAACCUUUGCUAAAGUCUCCAGCCUCUCCGAGCCUCAGUUUGCUCAUCUGUAAAAUUUACCCAGUGCCCACUCUGUCUCAAAAACUUUAAAACAGCUUCCCAUCUUAUGUCACCUUUGAGUCUAACCUAAUUUUGUUCUUAAAGAAAGUAACAGAUUAAUAAUCUCUGACGUGAAAGAAUACCCUCAAAGAGCAAUCGCUCCAUGGCCAGAGAGCCACAUCUCCACCCGAAGGGAGGGACACAGCUGACGAGGACCAUCCUACACAGAGGCAUUUUCCAUGCAUUUCGUGGAGCAAAUGAGGUCUUUCAAAGGAGAUGGCCUCAAACACCAAAGUCAUGGUGAUAUGGGGCCAAGAUGCCGUGGUUGGAGGUACAAUGCCCUGAUACGACUUCCUGUGGAAGGAUGACAAGGGCCUGCAUGCAGGUGAGCCGCAGGGCUGAGUGAACUGUUCUUCCAGAAACAUAUUAUCUGUGUAGAAUACAGAUGGGCUAGAUGAAAAUGUUAAGCACAUGUGAUUUUUAAACAUUUUUGUAUUGAGUUACUGUUGGUUUAUAACAUUAUGUAAAUUUCAGGUAUUCUGGAUACAAGCUCUUUGUCAUAUAUAUGUUUUGCAAAUAGUAGCUCCUAGUAGCUUGACUUUUACUUCCUGAUUGAAUCAUUCAAAGAAAUUAAAGUUUUAGUUUUGAUGAAGGCCACUUUAUUAACUGUUUUUAUAGUUUAUGCUUUUCAUCUCUUAUCUAAGAAAUUGUCAUGUUACC